GCGCUCGUAGCUCAGCUGGAUAGAGCAUCGGCCUUCGAAGCCGAGGGUUACAGGUUCGAUUCCUGUCGAGCGCA
rnacentral:tRNA from 1 species